GAUGAACGCUGGCGGCGUGCCUAAUACAUGCAAGUCGAGCGAACAGACGAGGAGCUUGCUCCUCUGACGUUAGCGGCGGACGGGUGAGUAACACGUGGAUAACCUACCUAUAAGACUGGGAUAACUUCGGGAAACCGGAGCUAAUACCGGAUAAUAUAUUGAACCGCAUGGUUCAAUAGUGAAAGACGGUUUUGCUGUCACUUAUAGAUGGAUCCGCGCCGCAUUAGCUAGUUGGUAAGGUAACGGCUUACCAAGGCAACGAUGCGUAGCCGACCUGAGAGGGCGAUCGGCCACACUGGAACUGAGACACGGUCCAGACUCCUACGGGAGGCAGCAGUAGGGAAUCUUCCGCAAUGGGCGAAAGCCUGACGGAGCAACGCCGCGUGAGUGAUGAAGGUCUUCGGAUCGUAAAACUCUGUUAUUAGGGAAGAACAAAUGUGUAAGUAACUAUGCACGUCUUGACGGUACCUAAUCAGAAAGCCACGGCUAACUACG
rnacentral:rRNA from 1 species